AGAGCAGGCUGGGUGAUCGCUGGUUGCCUUCGGGCAACGAGAGGAAAGUCCGAACACCACAGGACAGCAGGCUGGUUAACGACCAGGCGGGGCGACCCGACGGAAUAGUGCAACAGAGAAUAGACAGCCCUAAGCGUGUAAGCGCCGGGCGAUGGUGAAACGGUGAGGUAAAGGCUUCACCAGCAACGGUGGCGACAUCGUUGGCUAGGCAAACCCCCUGCGGUGCAAGACCAAAUAGGGAAACGUUAUUGAAAGCUGUCCGCUUCAGUUCACGCUUCGGCGUGACGCGUUUUCGGGUAGGUUGCUUGAGCGACGGAGUAAUUCGUCGCCUAGAUGAAUGAUCGCCGCCCGCGCCAUUGAGAAAUCAGUCAGUGGGUACAGGAUUCGGCUUACAGGCUCGCUCUGAGA
rnacentral:RNase_P_RNA from 1 species